GACGAACGCUGGCGGCGUGCUUAACACAUGCAAGUCGAACGGAAAGGCCCUUUCGGGGGUACUCGAGUGGCGAACGGGUGAGUAACACGUGGGUGAUCUGCCCUGCACUUUGGGAUAAGCCUGGGAAACUGGGUCUAAUACCGGAUAGGACUACGCGAUGCAUGUCGUGUGGUGGAAAGCUUUUGCGGUGUGGGAUGGGCCCGCGGCCUAUCAGCGUGUUGGUGGGGUGAUGGCCUACCAAGGCGACGACGGGUAGCCGGCCUGAGAGGGUGACCGGCCACACUGGGACUGAGAUACGGCCCAGACUCCUACGGGAGGCAGCAGUGGGGAAUAUUGCACAAUGGGCGCAAGCCUGAUGCAGCGACGCCGCGUGAGGGAUGACGGCCUUCGGGUUGUAAACCUCUCUCAGUAGGGACGAAGCGCAAGUGACGGUACCUAUAGAAGAAGGACCGGCCAACUACGUGCCAGCCGCCGCAGUAAAAC
rnacentral:rRNA from 1 species